AUGCACGCUGGCGGCGUGCCUAAUACAUGCCAGUCGAGCGAACAGAUGAGGAGCUUGCUCCUCUGACGUUAGCGGCGGACGGGUGAGUAACACGUGGAUAACCUACCUAUAAGACUGGGAUAACUUCGGGAAACCGGAGCUAAUACCGGAUAAUAUAUUGAACCGCAUGGUUCAAUAGUGAAAGACGGUUUUGCUGUCACUUAUAGAUGGAUCCGCGCCGCAUUAGCUAGUUGGUAAGGUAACGGCUUACCAAGGCAACGAUGCGUAGCCGACCUGAGAGGGUGAUCGGCCACACUGGAACUGAGACACGGUCCAGACUCCUACGGGAGGCAGCAGUAGGGAAUCUUCCGCAAUGGGCGAAAGCCUGACGGAGCAACGCCGCGUGAGUGAUGAAGGUCUUCGGAUCGUAAAACUCUGUUAUUAGGGAAGAACAAAUGUGUAAGUAACUAUGCACGUCUUGACGGUACCUAAUCGGAAAGCCACGGCUAACUACGUG
rnacentral:rRNA from 1 species